CCUACGGGUGGCAGCAGUGAGGAAUAUUGGUCAAUGGACGAGAGUCUGAACCAGCCAAGUAGCGUGAAGGAUGACUGCCCUAUGGGUUGUAAACUUCUUUUAUCUGGGACUAAAAUGUUCCACGUGUGGGAUUUUGUAUGUACCUUAUGAUUAAGGACCGGUUAACCCCGUGCCAGCAGCCGCGGUAAUACGGAGGAUCCGAGCGUUAUCCGGAUUUAUUGGGUUUAAAGGGAGCGUAGGUGGGUUGUUAAGCCGGUUGUGAAAGUUUGCGGCUCAACCGUAAAAUUGCAGUUGAAACUGGCAGGCUGGAGUACAGUAGAGGUGGGCGGAAUUCGUGGUGUAGCGGUGAAAUGCUUAGAUAUCACGAAGAACUCCGAUUGCGAAGGUAGUUCACGGGACUGCAACUGACGCUGAGGCUCGAAAGUGUGGGUAUCAAACAGGAUUAGAUACCCGGGUAGUC
rnacentral:rRNA from 1 species